rnacentral:tRNA from 1 species
GGGCCCGUAGCCUAGUCAGGAUAAGGCGCCGGCCUGCGGAGCCGGAGAUCCCGGGUUCAAAUCCCGGCGGGCCCGCCA